AACAAGCACAACUUCGAAUAACAAAAAUAAAUAAAUAAAUGCAGUAGCAAGUAAACUAUACAAUUCACUUUUAGUGGUUCCAUUUAGUGAUUACUAAUGGGGACACAAAGCACUACAGUCUAUUAUUAAACGCACAGUCCCAUUAGAAAAGAGCUAGAAAUAAACUUGAAUUGACUUGAACUUUUAUUAUUAUUCUCAAAUGUUCAAUGUCUGAGCUAACUACUCAACAAAGUCUUCGCUGAAUAAAACAUUUGCUAAUGACUUCUACAGAGUGCUGAGAGCAGCUCCCCGUCAUUUGCAUAUCUAAUCAGCUAGCAACGAGUGCCAUGUGUACUCCACUGAUAUCUGUCCAGGGAAAUGGUAUUGCCUUCAGCUGCAACGGGCUCAUUAGGAAACCCCAUAUGAAGCAUGCUCGGUUUGGGCAGUUACACAUGUGGACGAAUGGAAGUUAGCAGAUAUGUUUUAGUAAAGGUCAACGAGAGCUGAAAGGAAAUACUUUUGAUUUACCGGUCAAUCUUUGUACUCUAUAUGAAAAACUGCUGUGUGACCUGGAAGCUGUUUGGAGUAAAGACGAUGUUCCUCCACACUGAAAUAUGACUGUUAAUAUGGCUUGGGCAUCUGUUUUUGGAUAACUGUGUGUGGAGGUGUUCUGGGAUUGUCCUACCAGGAGGAAAGUCCACAUUGGAGGGACUGAGCUCUCCUUGGGAUACACCUGAAGAUGUUGGAGCAGAUAAGUCUGGGUUCUUUUGAGAACUAAGUUAGAUGACCUCCAUGAUUUGGCCACCGUUCUGGUUGAAGAUGGAUUGACUUUAAUGUGACCGCAGUUCAUGAAGACUCCACUUUGAGGGAGGAUCUGCUCAAAAAGGUUGUGCUGCUUUAACCUCUGGAUAAAGACCUGCAGGCCAUCAUGAAAGACCAUUGCAAUGAGCCUCUGACUGAACCAGCUCAACACCUGCACUGGUGGAAAUCUAUCCACCUGCUGUCACCGCUAAAACCGUUUUAUAGAUCCCUUUUGUUCACUACAGGUUUUAUCCUGGCAACUUUAAUAGUAUCUGGAUGCAGCUUUUAUGAUGCAAGCUGAGACUGCAGCACUCUGCGAUACAAUGUCAGACUCGAUACACUCAAUGGAGUGAGGGACUUCACUGUGACUGGUAGGGUUAGGGGUGGGGUUAGGUGAUCGCAUUAAAGCAUUUUAUGCAGCUCCGAUUGCACUGCAUAGAGUCUGCAGCCAGACCCCUCAACUCUAUCCACAAGGGUUUUGUUUUGGCAGUGCAACUUUCCUUAAGUUGCUGUUUUUAAUAAGGCAGUGUAAGGCUUCUCUCCAGUGUGAACCCUUAUGUUUGUUCAUUCCUCCAAGAGGUUCUCAGAGUAUGGGUUCAUGUUGGUGCCUUUUUUUUUUUUUUUAAUAUACACACACAAGUCUUUACUGUCCAGCAAUUCACAAUUUACCUCUGAAUUUCACAUGUGUUCACAGAAUAAAGAUCACUUUUUUUUUUCUUUUUUUAAAUGGUAUUUGUAGCACAUUCAGUUUUUUUCUUGUCAUUUUAAAUGAAUAAAUGUCCCUGGUUUCUUGAUGCAGUAGGCUACUGUUUUUGUUAACUGUUUGUUGCUUUAUCUUCGCUCCUCAACUAAAAUGUCCAAGCAACGUAUUUCCAUUGAGUUCUAUUUAAUCUUAAGUAACAUCUGGUAAACUAAG